rnacentral:lncRNA from 1 species
CUCGGGGGCUGGAAGGCUGGUGGCUCCUGGACCACCUCCUCUUUGAUACUGAGACACGGCUUGACUGAUUGCUGUUGCUGUGGAUUUCUACUUUGGGUAGAAAAACAAGUGUUUUCCCUUGGACAGUUUUUAGGCACACCCUUGGAAAACUGCUUAACGGAGCUGUAAUUCCAACUCCCUUAAAAAUCUUCCGGCUUUCCUGUUCUUUUAUUUAUGCCCUCUUUCACUGCUCCGAAGUCCUGCAGGUGUCAGCCGGGGCUGUCAGGUGGCUCACAUUUAGCGUCGGCUGUCAGGUGGAUUGCAUUGCCUUCAGACCAGCGUCUUUGGAAGGGCCCGGUAGAUUUUACCCCAAGCUUUCUGAAAAUUUUUGAGUAAGGCAGGGCAGAAAUAGAAAAUCCAUUGGUCUGUGGCACUCCUGUGUCUUGUUGCCUCUCACAUCUUUUUUUCCUCCUUAUAUUUGGAGUUUACUUCUAUAAUGAAGAUUUUGUGUUGACUUUGUUACUGACGGUUUCUGUAAUUUGCUUGCUAAGAGUCCUGAAUGUUGUUUUUCUUUAGACUUUGCUUUUGAGUUGCCUGUAUUUUUAUGGAAAGGUUGAAGAUUAGAUAACAAUAGCAUUCUCCAGUGAGCCGUCACAUUAUAUUCUUUGGUGCCUUGUAAAUGUUCCUUUUUAACUUCGCGGUCAUUCAAACAAGGUUUGGUUCUAAGUGUGUGAGUGGUUGGCAUUUUAAUAAAAAAUGGAUCAGAAGUUAAAUUUUCCAUUCCUAAAGCAGGCAGAGGAACUCAUUUCUUGCAGCCUACUUCAUUCUGGAUUAGAGAGUUUAUGCAGAAAACACAGCGAGGUAGGUACAGUGUGCCUUACUGUACAAUUUGCUAGAACGAUAGGUUUACACUUAAGAAACAGUGUUUUACCUUUCGACACCUGUAAACACCUGCUUGCAGCUAAAAUCGUGAUUAAGUGUAACACCACAAUCCUCUGAUCAUGGUGAACCAUAAUAACGCCUUUGGAAGGUCUACCUGCAACUUUGUGAUUGCUUAAUGUGUAUUGUUGUUCCAUAAUGACAGGUACUGUGGUCCUAAAGCCUUAUUUGUCAUUGUCUUGGGAAUACUUUAAUUAGCAUGCUAUUUGCAUUAUAUUUGCAAGCGCUAAUGUUAUUUAUUUAUUUAUUUUUGGUCAUUUAAGAGCUAUCCUGGAAACCAAGAAUUUAUAGUAGACGCAUCUUGUCCUUGGCUAGAAAGCAGUGUUCCCAGUUGCAAACUUGGCUUUUAUUAACAAUGACAGUUACGAAUUUUUUUCAAGGGCUGUGAAAUUUGUUUUCAUUUGGACCUUAGUGCUGGCAUAGCCUUAGUAUUUCUAGCUUGGGGGCCAAGAAAACAUUGUAUUAUCUGUAUUUUGCUCAUUUAGACACUCUAUACAGUCCUUGAGUUUGGUAUUAAGCUGUGGUGGUGUUUGGCUUUUUAAGACGUAGGCAGACAGUUUGCUUAGGUUCUCUGUGAAAAUAGAAAUAAAGGGGCUAUAUGCUGUUACAGAAUAUUUUAAGAUUCCAGGGUAAGGUGUGAAGGCAACCUGUAUAAUUACUGCCUCUGUUUAAUUGUCUCUUAUUGAUAACUGUCGAUGCACAUUAACUCUUGCUGGAUAUUUAUUGGUAAUAAAUAGAAAGUCGCCACUGGAAUACUUGGGGUAUCAACUUUGGGUUGAUAGAUAUUUAAGUCUUGGAAUCUUGCACUUAAUUCUUGUGCUUAAUUUUAUGAGAAGAAUUAUAUUCUAGAGUAGAACUGUUACUCUUUAAAAUGUAAAAAUAAAAAGCCCAACAGCUAAAAAACAAAUCAACCCCAAACCCCCAAAAGCUAUGUUCCUAUAUGUGUACUUGAAUAAUACAUUUGUGUGUGUUUUUACAUAACCAAGAGACCAGCUCAUAUGUUUUAAUAUGAAUGGUAUUAGCCAAAAAUUAACUUUGUAGGACAGAGGAAAUCAAUAUAGUGAAUUAAAGGAGUCCCUGUUCUAUGCCUUAGCUAAUUGGCUAACUCCACCUUCUAUGAAUAAGGUCUACUGCUUUGUUGAAAAACAAUUGGCAGUCUCUUGUCUGUCUUAAGUAUUAGAAUCGGAUUGUGUUGGCUGUAUGAGUAAACGUAGGCACUACCCUCUAAGACUAUAUCAGAAGUUUCAAAAACGAACAGAUUACCAAGUCUUCAAAUAAAGAAUUGUGACAGUUUAGUAAGGCUAGCACAGUUGUAUUCACACACAAUGAUAUUCUUUGCACAUCUAAAGAUGUAUUUUUCAAAAUUGAUUUCAUUCACUCUGAGCCCGAUCAGAGUCUUUUGGGUGUAUGUGCGCGCGCGCGUGUGUGUGUGUGUUUCUCCUCUGGGUGCAUAUAUGUGUACAUCUGAUCUGUGACCUAGCCAUGUAUAACUCUGUUCACAAAAUAACUUUGUAUUGACUCCACAGCCUGUGGUAUUAUCAGCCGUUUUCAUGUCAUACAUAUAGUGUUUCUUCUUUAUGAUUGCUUUGAUUGCUUUUUUUCCCAAAGCAUUCUAGACCGCAUUAUUUUUCCUAUUUCUAACAUUUAUUUCACUUUUCAUCUCUAGUCCACAGGGUUGUCCAAAUGUUUAGCACUGGACUGUCUAUUAGUAAAACAAACUUCUUUACUCAUGCUAAUUGAUGGAGUUCAUUUUAUGUUUUGCUGCUUCCCUUUGGCUAAGAUAUUCCUGUGAUGAAAUGUAUUAUAAGCUGAUGAAAAAUAUUAGUUGGUUUUGGAACAGCGUAAUAGUAAAAUAAGGCAUUUUCUGUGCAUGAAUUCAUCCAUAUGAAAAUUCAUACUUGGGCUCUUCUUUCUGGAGUACUGCACACUUAGCUUUUAUCUCAAACACCCUAGUUCCAUCUCAGACUCUCUCUCCCUCCAUCUCUCUCUCUUUAGGCUGCUUCUUCCUCUGCUGCCUCAUUCCUGUAGGUUUUUUUACCAGGUCCGGGCCUUUCCAUUCCUCUGCCCUUUUCUCACUCCCUGGGUUUCAUUUUACACCCUCCCAGGGCUUUAAUCUACAUGCCCGUGAUUCCUAAUUUACAACUCUAGCUCAGAUUUUAUGGCUGCUCUCUAGACCCAGAUAGCCAAUCGCCUAUUUACCAAACAGUUGUUGCUUGUACUUUUUUGUUUGUUUUAGGGAGUAGCACUACCAGUUACUUACCUGUCCAGGUCAAAAGCCAGGCUCCCAUCCUUGACCCCUCCCUCUCCUCCUUGCUCCUGUCUAAGUCCCUGGUGAGUCCACAUUCCCAAUCCCCCUGCCACGCCCUGACUUCAGGUCUGUGGCAUCUGGGCUGAUGAAUCAUGGACCAGGCUCCCAACUAGCGUCCCCGCCUUGCCCCUUCCAGCUCUGGACCUGCCAGCGUGCUCCUCCUGAAAUAGAAAGCUGAUCUUUGCAUUCCCCCGCCUGAAACAGUGUUCUAGCUUCCCAUUGCCUUUGGAGUAAGGCUCCAGCUCCCGAGGGGCGUCUUAGAUGCCUUCUGGCCCGCCUUUCUCCAGUCGCAGUGACCUCCUUCUGUACUUCCAGUUGCGCUCAGGGCGUCACGAUGUCUCUCUUCACUUCAGGUUUUACAUAGAAAUCCUUUUCUUUUCCUCUCUCUUCCUGCCAGUCUUCCCUCCUCCACCUCCACCCCUCUCCUGGCUCUUGUUUCCCAUCAUUCUAGUCUUUUCUUCAACAUCACUUCCUCCGAAAAGCCUCCCCUGACCUUCCCAGGCUAGGUUAGCUGGUCCUAGAGCGUUACCCGCACACACUGGGCUCUAUCAGGAAGCGCACUUACGAGUUUAUCUGUAUUCUCAGAAAAACGGGGAACAGGUUUGUUUCUCCAGCACAAGGCGCAUAGCAGGUGCUCCAGAAAUACGUCAGAUCAAUGCGUGAACACGCAGGAGAGGGUUUAGUUUUUAUUAACUGUUCGCGUAGCUUCCAAACACAUCAUCUUGAUUGUCCGCAUGCCUCACCGUCCCUCCUUCCUGGUCGUGGAAGUGUCCUCAGCGCCUCAACCUGCUAAGUCUUCCUGUGCCUCAGGGCUCAGGUGGACCCUCUUUGCUUCUCUCCAGUCCCAGUUUCAUGGUUUUAAAUAUCUGGUUUUCAGUGGUCAUUCCUAUACAUGCGUAUCUACAUGUAUACUUGAGCGUGUGUGUGUCGUGUUGUGUUUGCAUUGUAACCUCUCCCCUGAAUUCAGGUUCCUGCAUCCAGCUGACCUGCCCACUCGGCACCCCCACUUGAUGCAUGAGACGUACCACAUCCCAAACCUAAUUCCUCCUUCUCUUCAUCCCUUCCCCAGCUCAGCUUCCCCGGCCUCCUCAUCUUAAGCCACAGCCCUUCCACCCUUCCAGGCAGGCGUCGGGGAGUGACCUUUGAUCCUUCUUGGUCUCUCUCAUUCGUCACACCAAAGUUGGGCAGCUCCAGUCCUGGCCAGCCUGGAGAAGUCAGAUCCUGGCACCCCUCUGCUCUGGUUCCUCCAGUGGCUUCUCAUCUCCCUCAGCAUGAAAAGCCAGAGUUCUCACCACACCUGCAGAACCCUGGACAGCCUUGCCUAGGGGCUCUCCCCGCUUCACGCUGUCCUGGACACAUGAGCCUGGUGUCCCUAGAGCCUUCCCAAUAAUGCACCCUCUCCUUGCAGCACUCUUCGUGCUGUGUCUGCAGGGCCAGCUUCCUUGACCCCUCCAGCUGUGCUUAGAGGUCACCUCCUGGGAGAUUCUUCGCUGGCCGUUCCCUCCCUGCGCCCCAGGACACAGCUGCCUUCCUUGCCACGUUUUUCUCCCUGUCACUUACUCUAUGUCUGAUGUGCUUCUCAGGUACUGAUGUGGACAGAUGAAGUAUGCAAGUGUCGAGCACAGUCUGUUUUGUUCACCCGGUAUUUCUCAUGCCUGGAAGGCAGGCAAGCAUGUAGUAGGCAUGCACAUAAUUUUUUUGAAUGAAUGUAUGAAGACAAGAAAAAUUUCCCACAUGUUUUUGAGCUUGCAUCUGGAACAUGUGUAACGUGUAAGUCCCUCAUUUAGAUGAUAUGGUGUGAAGUGUAGGCUCUUCCUUAGACCUCUGUCUCCAUUAGGAUGGCUUUUCACAUUUUUCUUUCAUCUUUCUUACCUUUGGACAGCUGGUAACCAAGUAACAGUAACCAAGGCACUUGUAAUACAAAUGUAUGUAUUUGCCCUAAGGUGAGAUAGUGGUAAUUAACAGACUAGUGAGAGGGGACAUCUGACUGGUGGCAAAGUAUGAAAAGCCCAUACCGUCAUCCCUUAGUAUCCACAGGGCUUUGGUUCCAGGCCCCCCACCCUGUGGAGAGCAGAAUCCUUGGAUGCUCAGGUCCCUCAUAGAAGAUGGGCUCUUUGCAUAUGCUCUACACAGCUUACACUUUAAAUCAUCUCUAGAGUACUUACAACACCUAAUACAAUCUAAGCACUAUUUAGAUAGUUGCCAGUGUGCAGCCAGUUCAAGUUUUACUUUUUGAAACUUUUGGAAUUUUUCCCCCCGAAUAUUUUUGAUGUUUCAUUGGUUGAAUCCAUGGAUGCUGUACUUUCAGAUACCGUGGGCCAACUGUAGGUCUGAUGUUUUCAUUCCUUUUUUUGUGUGUAUGUGUGUCUUUUUCUAGGGCCACACUGGUGGCAUUUGGAAGUUCCCAGGCCAGGGGUCGAAUGGGAGCUGCAGCUGCUGGCCUACACCACAGCCAAGCAGGAUCAGAGCCGCUUCUUUGACCUACACUACAGCUCAUGACCAUGCCAGAUCCUUAACCCACUGAGCGAGGCCAGGGCUCAAACCUGCAUCCUCAUGGAUGCUAGUCAGAGUCAUUUCCACUGAGCCACAAUGGGAACUCCUGAUGUUUUCCUUCUUAAAACAGUUGGGCAGUCUAUGAAUGUUCCUUGUAUUUUUAAUUUUUUUAAUGUCAUAAUUAUGUCCUUAUGAGUUAAAAAAUGAUCACAACAUUGACUAUGGCAAAAUGUUAACAGUUGUUAAUUCUGGAUGGUGAGAACCCUGGAA